AGUGGAAUUGCUGGGUCAUAUGGUAAUACUAUUAUUUACCGUUUGAAGAAAUGUGAGAUUGUUUUCCAAAGAGGUUGCACCAUUUUACAUUUCUAACUGCAGU
rnacentral:pre_miRNA from 1 species